rnacentral:piRNA from 1 species
UAAGAUCAAGAAGUGAAGGAGCACAGUU